ensembl:lncRNA
AGUAUUUCAUUCAUCAAUGUAAAUAUAUGCAGAAAUGGCAUUAUUAUUUAAAUUAGCAGAGAUAGAUGAGAAGUUAAAAUUGAAUACUUCCUCUCAUAUAAAAAUGUAGGCCUGAUAUAAUAUAAGAUAGAAUUGAGAUUUGUGGAUGUGAGGAGACAGUAUAUGAAAGUAGAAAUGAAGAGGCAGGAAAUGUAUGAAUGAAAAGAGACAAAGGGAAGAGAGACGAAAAGAGAACAUGGGAGGAAAGGUUUAAUUCUAUUCUCUGCUGUGUUUUCAAUUAUUGUUUCUCCACGUGUGCAAAUUUGCAUCUACAAUACAUUCACAAGAUAUUUUAUAAUGAAUAAUAGCCAUGAAUCUUAUUAACUUAUAAGGUUUUUGUUUCUGUAGAGGCAGAACAGCCUGAUAGCGCUCCACCAUGGGGAGCACUUGUUGGCGGGAUCAUUGGGAUCAUCUCACUCAUCUGUGUGGUUGUUGCUAUUUGGGAAGUAUCUCAAAUCAACUUCACAUCCAGAUCUUAAUAUCUUUUAUUACACAGAAACAUGACGCUGACCCCUCUUAUGUCUUCCAGGUGGUUAAAGUCAAAACAUCCAACUUCACAACAGACACAGUGGGAGCAGAUUGAGGGAAGAAACGAGACAGAAAUACAUUUUGCGCAGAGGCUAACAGCUGAAGAGCUAGCUGUUCAAGAAUCAGCAACAGAAACAGAAGAAGACAUCCAUUACGGAGAGAUCGACUUCUCCAAGCGGAGACCUGAACAGCCCUCAGAGCAGGACGGUGCACAGCAGCAGGAAUCUCUGUACGCACAGGUCAAAGUGCCCGAGACAGCAAACCGCUCAACACCGACUGAUGACGAGGCGCUCUACGCCCAAGUGAAGAGGAAAUGAGUAUCGUCUUGUGAUCACAUUUAGGUUGGAUAAAUAAACUUACAUGUUUUACAAUCUAUGUCUUGAUGUAGAAAAAGACACUGGAGCAAGGGCGGGAAAUGUAAUCUUCACUGCCCAGUGAAAAAAAGGGGAACUUCAAACCUCCACAUCCUGCUGCUCAGAUACUUUUGCAAUGUACAGUUAUAACAUAAUCCGUAUGUGUUAACGACCGUAUAUGGUGUGAUACUGUGUGAUGUCCAUAUUAGUACAAAAGCUCUCAAUAGGGAACUUUUGUAAAUAACAUUAGAAUGACUUAAAGUGAACUUUACACCAGAAGUUCUGUACACACAUUAACGGGGAUUGCAUUUUAUUUUGAAAUGUUAGUGUUAUUUUGUUACAUUUUCUUCUGUUUCUUCUGUAUUUUGUAUCUCGCAUUUUAAUUACUUUAAUAAUGAACAUGAGACAGUUUCUGCAUUUGAAGAUAUUUAUUCAUUGCACUGUAAUAAAAACCCUGGCAUACAACUUCUUAAAAUACCUAGUAAUCUCAGUUGUAUUUUUUUAACAUUUCACAUUUUGCGCAUAAACAUCACCUGAAAUCAUACAAUUUAAAUCAAACAUAGCAAAAUGUCAAGUUGAAUUAUGCAUAGUAAUUCCCACUGGAAAUCUGCUGCAAUGUUUUGAGCAGUUAUUGUCCUUCUGAUAUAUAUGUAUUUGAAUAUCAAGCUCAAUUUAAAAUAAAAGGGCAUUUUAUGAGACUCUGUCAAUAUUGUAUUAAACGAUCUGGAGCUAAUAUUCACUUAUAAAAAUGUUAUGAGUAACCAUGUUAAACUGUAAACAUUAGCAGCCUAGACAUUGUGUUGUUACAGGUCUCAGAGGCCGUGUCUUGUGAGUGACGUGACAUUAGCUUCUCUACAUAACAAGUUUGACAAGGUCACAGAAAUCUAACCUUCAUGUGGAGUCAAAGCUCCCUCCUGCCACCAGACUCUGUUACAGUUUUAGUGUGAAGUCGUAUUCAAAGUUAUUAAAUUGUAGAUUAGCUUUUUAUCUCUGACAUUUAAUUCCCAAGAGAAGUCUCUUCAUAAAAGAGAAAGGCAAGAGUCACUGCUUGUGUUUUCAUGCACAGAGAAAUGUAACUACUGGCUAUUGGUCUUUUUGGAGGCAGAGCUUUUUUAUUCAACCGAUGAUUGAACAAACGCACGUCUCAACAUAUAACACGGGAGAUCUUAAAGUUGCCAUAAAGCAUCUUUGACUGAGCAGCGAGUACUAGAACUCUUUCAUACUAGCAUUUCAGUGCAAUUCCUAUGUGGUGAAGACAAAAGAGGAGUGGCAGCAUAAGUUUAUAAGUUUAAAACCAAAUAACUGUUUUCAGAACUAAGUUCUCUGUGUAUGUAAGCUCAGCCAGUGACUCUGAUUGCACCUUAAUGAUCUGAAUCCUGGACUUUCCAACAAAACCCCGACAACAUAAAGGAAAACGCAGAUCGGACCUUCACAACUGAAAUGAAUGAUAGAAGUGAUGGAAAUGCUUUCUUCAUAAACACUUUCUGCUCCAUGAAAAGCUUCUUUGCAGAAAAUCAGAAAGUUUAAACAUUACACCUCAUUUGUGUUUAAUUCAACACACUUCACAUGCAU